CUACGGUGGGCAGCAGUGGGGAAUAUUGGACAAUGGGCGAAAGCCUGAUCCAGCCAUGCCGCGUGUGUGAAGAAGGCCUUCGGGUUGUAAAGCACUUUCAGUGGGGAAGAAAGCCUUGGGGCUAAUACCCUCGAGGAAGGACAUCACCCACAGAAGAAGCACCGGCUAACUCCGUGCCAGCAGCCGCGGUAAUACGGAGGGUGCGAGCGUUAAUCGGAAUUACUGGGCGUAAAGCGCGCGUAGGCGGUCUGAUAAGCCGGUUGUGAAAGCCCCGGGCUCAACCUGGGAACGGCAUCCGGAACUGUCAGGCUAGAGUGCAGGAGAGGAAGGUAGAAUUCCCGGUGUAGCGGUGAAAUGCGUAGAGAUCGGGAGGAAUACCAGUGGUGAAGGCGGCCUUCUGGACUGACACUGACGCUGAGGUGCGAAAGCGUGGGUAGCAAACAGGAUUAGAUACCCUUGUAGUC
rnacentral:rRNA from 1 species